GACGAACGCUGGCGGCGUGCCUAAUACAUGCAAGUAGAACGCUGAAGAGAGGAGCUUGCUCUUCUUGGAUGAGUUGCGAACGGGUGAGUAACGCGUAGGUAACCUGCCUUGUAGCGGGGGAUAACUAUUGGAAACGAUAGCUAAUACCGCAUAACAAUGGAUGACACAUGUCAUUUAUUUGAAAGGGGCAAUUGCUCCACUACAAGAUGGACCUGCGUUGUAUUAGCUAGUAGGUGAGGUAACGGCUCACCUAGGCGACGAUACAUAGCCGACCUGAGAGGGUGAUCGGCCACACUGGGACUGAGACACGGCCCAGACUCCUACGGGAGGCAGCAGUAGGGAAUCUUCGGCAAUGGGGGCAACCCUGACCGAGCAACGCCGCGUGAGUGAAGAAGGUUUUCGGAUCGUAAAGCUCUGUUGUAAGUCAAGAACGAGUGUGAGAGUGGAAAGUUCACACUGUGACGGUAGCUUACCAGAAAGGGACGGCUAACUAUGUGCCAGCAGCCGCGGUAAUACGUAGGUCCCGAGCGUUGUCCGGAUUUAUUGGGCGUAAAGCGAGCGCAGGCGGUUUGAUAAGUCUGAAGUUAAAGGCUGUGGCUCAACCAUAGUUCGCUUUGGAAACUGUCAAACUUGAGUGCAGAAGGGGAGAGUGGAAUUCCAUGUGUAGCGGUGAAAUGCGUAGAUAUAUGGAGGAACACCGGUGGCGAAAGCGGCUCUCUGGUCUGUAACUGACGCUGAGGCUCGAAAGCGUGGGGAGCGAACAGGAUUAGAUACCCUGGUAGUCCACGCCGUAAACGAUGAGUGCUAGGUGUUGGAUCCUUUCCGGGAUUCAGUGCCGCAGCUAACGCAUUAAGCACUCCGCCUGGGGAGUACGACCGCAAGGUUGAAACUCAAAGGAAUUGACGGGGGCCCGCACAAGCGGUGGAGCAUGUGGUUUAACUCGAAGCAACGCGAAGAACCUUACCAGGUCUUGACAUCCCGAUGCUAUUUCUAGAGAUAGAAAGUUACUUCGGUACAUCGGUGACAGGUGGUGCAUGGUCGUCGUCAGCUCGUGUCGUGAGAUGUUGGGUUAAGUCCCGCAACGAGCGCAACCCCUAUUGUUAGUUGCCAUCAUUCAGUUGGGCACUCUAGCGAGACUGCCGGUAAUAAACCGGAGGAAGGUGGGGAUGACGUCAAAUCAUCAUGCCCCUUAUGACCUGGGCUACACACGUGCUACAAUGGUUGGUACAACGAGUUGCGAGUCGGUGACGGCAAGCUAAUCUCUUAAAGCCAAUCUCAGUUCGGAUUGUAGGCUGCAACUCGCCUACAUGAAGUCGGAAUCGCUAGUAAUCGCGGAUCAGCACGCCGCGGUGAAUACGUUCCCGGGCCU
rnacentral:rRNA from 1 species